AAUCACUUUUAAACUCAUGAGUAGACAACUCACAAUACACAACGACAAGUUGUCUAACUUUCAAGUGAUAUAAUUCUCAAAGCUAUUGAUUUAAAAUAUGUACAACACAUCAACAAAGUAGAAUAGACUGAGUGUUGCAGCGGAAUAAUUCAUGUGGAUUACAUGUAUGAAGACAUGGAAUCCUGAGCCUAAUUUAAUAUACUCUGAAGGCUUUGCUCUGCUUGCUUCCAUCUACAUCACAGCUUAACCUGCAUAUUUAGAAACAUACGCAGGGCUGAGUACCAAAUAGCACUCAGUGGUUACAUGCCGAAAUAACUUUAAACUUGCUCUUAGAGCUAUAUAUUGAACUUGUCAUCUCAAGCAUCACACAGGAGUUUUAUUUAAAUAACCUGUGCAUGCAAAACUGUAAAACUUCUCGAUAAUCAUCAUAACAUCAUAUACGUCUGCAGACAAUGAACAUGUAUGUACCAUAUCUACGCAUCAUAUAACUCUGAGUGUUGAGAAGUAGGCCUCCUUCUCAAACACGAUGACAAGCUAACUCAAAGGUUAACUGUCAACUCUGUGUACACAAAUCCUGACUCGCUCAGGACCCGAAUUCGUUCUUCUAUGUAGAUGGUAUCAUACAAAUCUCAAAUAUUGGCAAGUCAAUAAUUUGAAAACAAAUGCAUACACUCAAACUUUGUAUUAAAGUAUGCAUCUUUAACUGUUGAGUUAGUAAGCCCACCUGAUACGCUUAAUGAAAUAGAAGUCCUUGCUUGUUCAUUCUACACUGCCACUCGAACCUUCAUUGUAAUGAGGUUCCCAUGUAAGAUUGGAUAAUAAGUAAGUAAAUAGAAAGUAAAUCUUGAAUGAAACUUCUAUCACUUGAAAGUUGCAUCCUCUAAUCUGAGUAUUCUACUUAUAUAGACUUAACUAAAAGCAAAUAGUAACAUCACAUCUCUUUGGAUAUCUCAUUGGAGAAAGCUUAAGAGUAAACUAAUCCAUUCUAUAUAGAUUAGCUUACAAUUAAUAACUGAAAACAUCAAUCACUUAGCAUUGUUCUAUUCAUAACUUGCUCAAGUAAGAAAUCUCAAAUAUGUAAUCAUAUAUGAAUCUCAACUUUGAAAUAUCAUAUAAAAUCAACCUCUUUAAAGAAAAAUACAAGCUUUACAUUUUUAGAAAUCUCUCAAAGUCUAUUUUUAUUAGAAAGUUACAAAAACACAAUACACCAAGUGUGUGAGAAGUUAUAUCACGAAAGGCAAAAUCUGCCACUGAACUUCGCUGCUUCACGCAGUACAUUUCAGAAAAUCGUUUGACACAUCUAAAGGUCUCGGAUUUAGCUGAAAUUUUACAGAAACGUACUACUCAUGAUAAAGUUAUUACAGUAAAAAUUUCAAGUUAUUUGGACUACGAAAACAUCAUCAAAAGUACCCCGAAACAUACUGUUCUGUCCAACCCGAAAACUGACAGCAAUGCUCAUUGACAUAUCACUCAUAUUUUUCUCAAAUAACAGCUAUAGGAACUCAAAUACAUCAUCUUAAUACACAUUAGCAUGCUUUAGCUUAACUUAAUUCAUGUUCAACACAUCAACAUAUAGUAGCAUGCUUAAUAUCCUCCAAUUAUUAUCAUAUAAUCUCAUUUUACAACUCAAAGAGUACAAUUACACAAGCAUCAAACAUGUAGCUAUCUUAUAUCAAGAAUUCCCAAAUCCAUUGAAACUAAACUAUUAGAAAAUCAUGAUUUCUUGCAAAUAGAAACUCAAAUAAAUCUCAAUGAUUCCCUCACAAACAUAUAAAUAUAUAUACGCAGCCAAUUGAUGGAAAUAAAGAAGAUGAAAUUCUAGGGUUCUUGAGGGAGUCAAAAAUCGAAUCUUUGGGGUAGGGUUUUGAUUUAUUUCAUCAUACUACUUAAUUCUAAACAAUUACUAACUUGAAACAUGUAGUAAUCAACAUGAUACAAGAGGCAAAAUCGUUUUCUUCCACAACAGCCUAUUUCUCGAAAUAGCAAGAAGAAGAGAUAGGAGAAUUUUCUUCGAUUCUACUAUCAAUAAGACUUAAUCCAAGAUUUCUCACCUUAAUAUACGUUUCUGGAUGAAUAUAGGUGUGAUUUUUGGAGUGAUUCUUGGAGCUUGGCUAGAAAGAGAAAAACUCAAAAUGAAGAACAGAGGAAGGGACCGAGACUUGCAGGGGAAGAAGAAAAUAUUUGGCUUUUCUCAUAAGUCUUGUUUGGCGGCUGCCCUAACAAGAAUUAAAAUAAUUUGGACAAUAUAAUUCCUUAAAGCCUACGAAAGGCUUGAUCAUGAUCCAAGUAUGAAAAA
rnacentral:lncRNA from 1 species